rnacentral:rRNA from 1 species
AAUAGAUACCCCGGUAGUCCACGCCCUAAACGAUGUCUACUAGUUGUCGGGUUUUAAUUAACUUGGUAACGCAGCUAACGCGUGAAGUAGACCGCCUGGGGAGUACGGUCGCAAGAUUAAAACUCAAAGGAAUUGACGGGGACCCGCACAAGCGGUGGAUGAUGUGGAUUAAUUCGAUGCAACGCGAAAAACCUUACCUACCCUUGACAUGUCAGGAACCUCGGAGAGAUCUGAGGGUGCCCGAAAGGGAGCCUGAACACAGGUGCUGCAUGGCUGUCGUCAGCUCGUGUCGUGAGAUGUUGGGUUAAGUCCCGCAACGAGCGCAACCCUUGUCAUUAGUUGCUACGAAAGGGCACUCUAAUGAGACUGCCGGUGACAAACCGGAGGAAGGUGGGGAUGACGUCAAGUCCUCAUGGCCCUUAUGGGUAGGGCUUCACACGUCAUACAAUGGUACAUACAGAGGGCCGCCAACCCGGCGAGGGGGAGCUAAUCCCAGAAAGUGUAUCGUAGUCCGGAUCGUAGUCUGCAACUCGACCCGUGAAGUCGG